GACGAACGCUGGCGGCGUGCUUAACACAUGCAAGUCGAGCGGUAAGGCCCUUUCGGGGGUACACGAGCGGCGAACGGGUGAGUAACACGUGGGUGACCUGCCCUCAGCUCUGGGAUAAGCCUGGGAAACCGGGUCUAAUACCGGAUAUGACUCCAUGACGCAUGUUGUGGGGUGGAAAGCCUUGUGCGGCUGAGGAUGGGCCCGCGGCCUAUCAGCUUGUUGGCGGGGUGANGGCCUACCAAGGCGACGACGGGUAGCCGGCCUGAGAGGGCGACCGGCCACACUGGGAUUGAGACACGGCCCAGACUCCUACGGGAGGCAGCAGUGGGGAAUCUUGCGCAAUGGGCGAAAGCCUGACGCAGCGACGCCGCGUGAGGGAUGACGGCCU
rnacentral:rRNA from 1 species